UCCGGUUGAUCCCGCCGGACCUGACUGCUAUCGGAUUGAUACUAAGCCAUGCGAGUCAUUGUAGCAAUACAAGGCAUACGGCUCAGUAACGCGUAGUCAACCUAACCUAUGGACGGGAAUAACCUCGGGAAACUGAGAAUAAUGCCCGAUAGAACAUUAUGCCUGGAAUGGUUUAUGUUCCAAAUGAUUUAUCGCCGUAGGAUGGGACUGCGGCCUAUCAGUUUGUUGGUGAGGUAAUGGCCCACCAAGACUAUUACAGGUACGGGCUCUGAGAGGAGUAGCCCGGAGAUGGGUACUGAGACACGGACCCAGGCCCUAUGGGGCGCAGCAGGCGAGAAAACUUUGCAAUGUGCGAAAGCACGACAAGGUUAAUCCGAGUGAUUUCUGCUAAAGAAAUCUUUUGUUAGUCCUAGAAACACUAACGAAUAAGGGGUGGGCAAGUUCUGGUGUCAGCCGCCGCGGUAAAACCAGCACCUCAAGUGGUCAGGAUGAUUAUUGGGCCUAAAGCAUCCGUAGCCGGCUCUGUAAGUUUUCGGUUAAAUCUGUACGCUUAACGUACAGGCUGCCGGGAAUACUGCAAAGCUAGGGAGUGGGAGAAGUAGACGGUACUCGGUAGGAAGUGGUAAAAUGCUUUGAUCUAUCGAUGACCACCUGUGGCGAAGGCGGUCUACUAGAACACGUCCGACGGUGAGGGAUGAAAGCUGGGGGAGCAAACCGGAUUAGAUACCCGGGUAGUCCCAGCUGUAAACUAUGCAAACUCAGUGAUGCAUUGGCUUGUGGCCAAUGCAGUGCUGCAGGGAAGCCGUUAAGUUUGCCGCCUGGGAAGUACGUACGCAAGUAUGAAACUUAAAGGAAUUGGCGGGGGAGCACCACAAGGGGUGAAGCCUGCGGUUCAAUUGGAUUCAACGCCGGA
rnacentral:rRNA from 1 species